GAGCAACAACAUGUAGUAUACAAAAUAAUACGUUGGUCAAUAAAUGUUACAAAUAAAAAAUAACGCAACCCUUUUAUCGAAAAAGAGGCUUUCAGUUUUUGUGAAGUAAGUUCAGGAUAGUACUAGCGUAGAGUUAAAUUUUUAAGAUAGAUUAUUAAUAGAGUUCAUGCACUUCGGAUUGAUUUAAUAUUGGCCAGGCUUUACGAAUAAGGUUCGUCAGAAUCAAUUCUGUUCCGCUUCUGAUUUUUCCGUUGUUGUAGUAUCGGACGAUUCCAUGGGUAGAAAUCACUAGGUUGCGUUGAAUUAAUGAAUGGACUUUUAUCUGCAUCGAUAUUUUGAGUGUUUCUGUUCUUCGUUUCUUUGUUAUCCGUGUGUAUUAGUUCACUGUCAUCGCUUGGUUCGUAUAAUUCCCCUUCUAUGAACAGCUUAUCUCUAAUCAAUAUAGCUUUCUUUCGGUCUUUCUUUGCCUGCUUUAAUAUAGGAUAUAGUUUUUUCCUCUUCUUUUCGAUUUUUACCGGAAAUUGUUCCCUGACAGAAAUAUGUGUCCCCUUUAAUUUGUGACAGUUCCUCAUAACUAAUUGUUUAUCUUUCAAAGAUACAAAUUUAGUCAUUAUUCUUUGAAUAUUUUGUCUUUGUUUUCCAAAACGAUGUACAGAAACGAAAUUGACAUUUUCCCCUAUUCCCAGGUUUUUGCGGAUAAAAUUUCUUACAAUGUUUUCUGUAUUCUCAUUUGGCUCCUGUUUUAUUCCGGAUAUUACGAUAUUGUUAGUCAUUGAUCUCCAUUGUAACUCAUCGACAUCGAUUUCAAUAUUUAUCAAUCGCUCAUUGACGCAUUUCAUAUCGAAUGUGUUUUCUUUAACAUUUUCUGCUUCCUCUAACAAUGAUAUUUUAGACAUAUUUUCUUUGCAGCGAUCUAUAAUUUUAUGCACAACCGUACCCAUUUGUUCUCCCUUUUCUUCGAUCAUUUUAUUUCGGUUAAACACAAUUUCGCACUUCUGUUCUACGUUUUCUAUUCGUGUUACCAUUAAAUCUAAUUUUUGCUCAAGUUGCGAUAUCCUAGUAACUUCGCGCUCAAGCUUUCCGCAUUGUGUCUGGAGGUCUGCCACGACAGCAAGUACAGAGUUCAAUAUAGAUAUAGUUUUGGUAUCGAAUUCUUUGUAGUCCGACAUUAUGAUUCAAAAUACAUUAUAAUAAAAAUAUUGUUUUUGCAAUUGAAUGCUGAAAGAACAAUGGAGAACAAUCAAUCGCCACUAACAACCCGACGACGUUAGCAACGUAAGCAAUGCUCUUGUAGUGAUAAAAAUAUUCUUCAUUUAUGUUGAGAAAUCUGUAAAGUUGUAGAGAUAUAAAUUUUACCGUUCAAAUAAAAUCCUUGGAAUCUGCGACUUUAGUCCAUUUGAUAAGUUUACAUGCUAGCCUAGAUCCUGAUAAUUUGAGUUUUUGCAGGAGCAAAAAAAAGCAUGACUGCCUGCUAGUACAUCCGGG
rnacentral:lncRNA from 1 species